AGAAUUAAAGAGCAAAACAUCAUCUUUAUAUAUAAAGAUAUGUUUUCUCCCUCCUGGUGAGGACACAUAGGCAGCCACUUCACAAAGUCGUUCAACCUCGAGCUGAGACGUGUCUCAGAAGAGUAAAACUCGGCGUUUCAUUUAAUCUGGUUCAAAAUGGGCUUUGGUAGUUCGAUGUGUGUUGGGCUUUUAGUUUAGAAGUUGUAUCCGGCCCGGGUUACUUGAGAUCGCCCUCUAACCCUAAUUCUGAUGAAAGAAGAAACGAGCUCCAUCCUCUUCUUCGUGCGGCUACGAAUCGGUGACGUCUUAGCUUCUCCUCUCCAUGUUAAACGGUCCGAGUUAUGGCUGUAUCGAAGCGUCAUCUUCUUCAAUGCCCUCAUUAACAGUAUCUCUCCACUCCACUCCUCAUUAACCCUAAUUCAAUGAAUAUCCCAUUACAUCGAUUGAAGACAAAAAUGGCUGCCUCCUCUAUCAAGACAUAAUCUGUCUGAUUCUUAGAUGAGUCCUUAACAGCCUUAUGAAUCCAGUUUAAGGGAAUUUCGUAUUGACUAUUUGUUAUUAGCUGGUAACCGCUAAGUUGGUGAUCUGAUCCGGAUCAUACGUAUCUGUUUUAUAUUAAACGUUGUUUUCGUU